UACGUAGGGCGCAAGCGUUAUCCGGAAUUAUUGGGCGUAAAGAGCUCGUAGGCGGUUUGUCGCGUCUGCCGUGAAAGUCCGGGGCUCAACUCCGGAUCUGCGGUGGGUACGGGCAGACUAGAGUGAUGUAGGGGAGACUGGAAUUCCUGGUGUAGCGGUGAAAUGCGCAGAUAUCAGGAGGAACACCGAUGGCGAAGGCAGGUCUCUGGGCAUUAACUGACGCUGAGGAGCGGAAGCAUGGGGAGCGAACAGG
rnacentral:rRNA from 1 species